GCGCGGGUAGGGCUGGGGGCUCGCCCUCCCCCGAGCCCCGAAAUGGGCGUAAUGCGGGGGCCAGUAACCCGCACGCUGGCCACGGCGGUCCGCGGCAGACCCGGCCGACCAAUGACCCCCGUCCCGCGGGGCCGGCGGCGGCGGAGCCCCCUCCGGAGGGAGGGAGGCUACCGCCCUUGCCGGGGGAAACAGGCCAGGCCCGGAAGGGAGCAACCUAACCCCGGACGCCCGGCGUUCGCGGG
rnacentral:SRP_RNA from 1 species